GUCAGUAGGACUUGGAGUGCCCAAAAGUGAAGUUUGAUGCAAUGUUUAAAUGUGGCAAAUUCAAAUUAAAACCUUAUAAAAACCACGGAUAGCCAAAAUAAAAAACAGGAAAAGAUGAACCGGGAUAUCAGUUCACACCUCUUCUACAUAAGAUCUAUCAUUAUCUCCUGGAGCCUGCUCAUCUUCUUAUUCAAUCUCCAGUAUGUCAAGUCCGAGUGUCGGGCCCGCCCCCUCGGCCUUCUCUCAGGAGAGAUCAAGGAUUGGCAGUUGGCAGCCAGCAGUGUUGUCAGCCGUGGUGAGGAUCCAGAUUGUGCUGUCAAGUUUGCCCGCCUACACUCCCCAGGGAAGAGGGCGUGGUGUCCGGAGCAUUUAAAGCAGGGGGAGUGGAUCCUAGUAGAUCUAGGGGUGGAGUCAGAGAUUGCGGGUGUUAUGACGCAAGGGAGGGACACUAUGGAUCAGUGGGUCACCCAUUAUAUAAUCUCAUAUAGUCUAGAUGCUUACAGAUGGGAGUUUGCUAGAGAUAUUUAUGGGAAUAAAAAGGUGUACCGGGGUAACCAGGAUACACACACUAUUAAAGUAUCCUACCUGGAGCACACUGUCCGAGCCAGGUUUAUCAGGAUACAUAUAGAAGCUUGGCACAACCAUCCCUCCCUCAGGAUGGAAGUGCUGGGCUGCCAGGAGUGUAAUAGUUUAAUCUCCGAGCUACCGAGUACCCAGCUAGAGAGUAGUAGUACUGGGAGAAGGAAAAAGUCUAAGGAUACUUGUACUCCUGCUGACGGUCAUAUUUAUAGUGCAGGGGGCUGGUGCCCUAGGAGAACUAAUGAGCAUCAAUGGUUACAGUUGGAUCUAGGACCUCCCACCCUGGUUACUGGUAUAAUGAGUAGAGGACGAGGAGAUAAGAAGAACUGGGUAACCUCCUACUCCUUGUCCUACUCUAAUGAUACUAAUAUCUGGUUCUACUACAAGGAUGCAAACCAUCUAGAGGCUAAGGUAGAGAACAGUACAAAGGGACAUAUUUUUGGUGGAAAUAUGGAUAUAAAGACGGAGAGAAGACACUAUCUCAAUGUUCCCAUGGUAACUAGAUAUGUCCGUAUUCAUCCUUUAACCUGGAGAAGACGGAUAGGGUUGAGGGUUGGAGUUCUAGGUUGUCCUCACACUGGAGAAUGUGGUCCUGGGUUCCUCAGUGUAAACUCUAGAUCUGCUUGUGUUCCGAAUAAAGCUUACCUGGGACACACCUGGACCAAUGAUAAACGUCACUCCUGGAAGCAAUGGAAAUACGGGCAUAGUAGUUUAGCUGUAGAUGGUAAGGAGAAUACCAAUCUUCCUAACUGUGCUAUCCUGGAUAACUACUAUACAGAUAAACCAGUAUGGAUGGUGGAUCUAGGAAAGAAGAUCUCUGUGAACGGAGUCCUGAUAUUAACCUGGCAGGGUACAGGACAGGAUAAGAUUACUCCGUACACUGAUUAUGUACACAACCUGGAUAAACUAAGUGUAUAUGUAUCGGAUAAACCUAAACUGGAUUCUCCAGGUCUAGUAAAUGAACCUAAGUGUGGAGUGAUUUCAAGGAUGAACACAGCUCUGUUUAAUCCUAGAUUACAUUUUGAUUGUCCAGAACCUGUGGAAGGAAGGUUUAUCUAUGUUAAAGCAUCAGGAGUUCCAAACCGUUGGAAGAAACAUUUCACAGUUGUUCUCUGCGAGGUUAUGGUUUAUUAAUCAAACCUUCAACUUUGUCUUCCGACCUCAACCUUCCUUUAGUAUUCAUGUCAGAUCUGUUCUUUUCAACAUAUUAUACAUACAUCAACUAGACCUAUGUUUCUCAAAUCAAAAAUGCUCUUUUUGUCAAGUAAGAAUUCUUAAGAAUUCGGCAUUGUAGAUUUCUCGAUGGUUUAUGAUGUAUUCGCGGCUGUGAUUUAAUAUAGUGUACAAAUACAUUAUCCUUUCCCUUAUAUACUUGUACACUCCAUACACUCUUUCAAUACUCCUUCAAUAUUCCUUCAAUAUUCCUUCAAUACUCCUUCAAUACUCCUUCAAUAUUCCUUCAAUAUUCCUUCAAUACUCCUAUAAUACUCCUUCAAUAUUCCUUCAAUAUUCCUUCAAUACUCCUUGAAUGCUAGAUCCUAACCUUCUUACUCUGCUAUGGUUAUCCUUUUCUCCUUCCUCUCCUCGUCCUAAUCUACUUCCACUUAUAUCCCCAUCUCUUACUUCCUCUCCUCGUCCUAAUCUACUUCCACUUAUAUCCCCAUCUCUUUCCUAAUCUACUUCCACUUAUAUCCCCAUCUCUUACUUCCUCUCCUCGUCCUAAUCUACUUCCACUUAUAUCCCCAUCUCUUACUUCCUCUCCUCUUCCUAAUCUUCUUUCACUUAUAUCCCCAUCCCUCACUUCCCUUCCACUUCCAUCCUUAAUUUGACUAAAUAAAGCCCCCAUUCUACCCGUUCCAAUAAUGCAAACUUGUUCAGCAUACUUUGUUACAUCUGUACAGUUUACACAAAAUAAUAUAGAUUUUUGUUCAUCACAUCCUGUAAGAAGUGGCAGCCAAUAUAAAUAUUUAUUAGUUCUCACCCUUGCAAACUGCUUAGUGAAAACUGUGUUCGUGUACUAUGUAUAUAUACAUAAAGCUUAAAUCAAUGUUAAA
rnacentral:misc_RNA from 1 species